rnacentral:SRP_RNA from 1 species
GCUGGGCAUGGUGACGCAAGCCCGAAAUCCUAGCUACUCGGGAGGCUGAGGCUGGAGGAUCUCUUGAGCCCAGGAGUUCUGGGCUGUAGUGCACUAUGCCGAUCGGGUGUUUGCACUAAGUUCGGCAUCAAUAUGGUCACCCCCUCCAGGUUACCUAAGGAGGGGUGAACCAGCCCAGCUCGGAAACAGAGCAAGUCAAAACUCCAUGCUGAUCAGUCGUGGGGUCGGGCCUGUGAAUAGCCACUGCAGUCCAGCUUGGGCAACAUAACGAGUCCCAGUCUCU